rnacentral:tRNA from 2 species
GGGCCGAUGGCGCAAUUGGCAACGCGCUCCCCUUGCACGGGAGAGACUGUGGGUUCAAAUCCCAUUCGGUCCA